rnacentral:rRNA from 1 species
GGAGUUUGAGCCUGGCUCUCAAUCAACGCUGGCGGCGUGCCUAACACAUGCAAGUCGAACGAGAAAGUGGAGCAAUCCAUGAUACAGUGGCUACCGGGUGAGUAACACGUGACUACCUACCCUUGAGUGGGGGAUAACCUCGGGAAACCGAGGCUAAUACCGCAUAAUAUCGAGAGAUUCAAGGAGCAAUUCGCUCUUGGAGGGGGUCGCGGCUGAUUAGCUAGUUGGUAGGGUAAUGGCCUACCAAGGCAAAGAUCCUCUUCCGGCCUGAGAGGGCGCAUGACACACUGGAACUGAAACACGGUCCAGGAUCCUACGGGAGGCCCCUGGGGAAUUUUUCGCAAUGGGGGAAACCCUGACUGCUAACGCCGCGUGCAGGAUGAAGGCCCUUGGGUCGUAAACUCCUUUCGACCGGGAAAAUUAUGAUGGUACCUGUGGAAGAACCUCCGGCUAACUCUGUGCCAUUCUCCUUCGUAAUACCCAGGGUGCGAGCGUUGUUCGGAAUUAUUGGGGGUAAGGGCGCGUUUCGCGUGUUGUAAGUCACCUGUGAAGACUCUGGGCUUAACUCAGAGCCUGCAGACGAAACUGCAAUGCUGGACGGUGGGAGAUGCUCGUGGAAUUCCCGGUGUAGCGCUGAAAUGCCUUUACUCGGAAAUAACUCCUGUGCCGCAAGCUGACCACUGGACCACUACUGACGCUGAGGCGCGAAAGCUAUGGGAGCUAACAGGACUAGAUACCCUGGUCGUCCUAGCCCUAAACGAUGAUUGCCUGUGUGAUCGGUGCCCAUCAGAUUGUGCCGCAUCUAACGCUACAGAGUCCUC